GAUGAAGAACGUAGCGAAAUGCGAUACGUAAUGUGAAUUGCAGAAUUCAGUGAAUCAUCGAAUCUUUGAACGCAUAUUGCGCUCUCUGGUAUUCCGGAGAGCAUGCUUGUUUGAGUAUCAGUAAACACCUCAACUCCCUUUUCUUUUUUGAAAUGGGAGCUGGACUUGAGUGAUCCCAACACUUUUCUCACUGGAAAGUGGCGGGUCACUUGAAAUGCAGGUGCAGCUGAACUUUUCUCUGAGCUAUAAGCAUAUCUAUUUAGUCUGCCUAAAAAACAGAUUAUUACCUUUGCUGCAGCUAACAUAAAGGAGAUGAGUUCUUGUGCUGACUGAUGCAGGAUUCACAGAGACAGCUUUGCGGCUGACUUUGUAAACUCGAUCUCAAAUCAAGUAAGACUACCCGCUGAACUUAAGCAUAUCAAUAAGCGGAGGA
rnacentral:misc_RNA from 1 species